rnacentral:rRNA from 1 species
GUGCCAGCAGUCGCGGUAAUACGUAGGGUGCGAGCGUUAAUCGGAAUUACUGGGCGUAAAGCGUGCGCAGGCGGUUUUGUAAGACAGAUGUGAAAUCCCCGGGCUUAACCUGGGAACUGCGUUUGUGACUGCAAGGCUAGAGUACGGCAGAGGGGGGUGGAAUUCCACGUGUAGCAGUGAAAUGCGUAGAUAUGUGGAGGAACGCCAAUGGCGAAGGCAGCCCCCUGGGUUAACACUGACGCUCAUGCACGAAGGCGUGGGGAGAAAAAAGGAUAAGUUACCCUGGUAGUCAACGCCCUAA